rnacentral:rRNA from 1 species
ACGUAGGGGGCAAGCGUUGUCCGGAAUGAUUGGGCGUAAAGGGCGCGUAGGCGGCCUGGUAAGUCUGGAGUGAAAGUCCUGCUUUUAAGGUGGGAAUUGCUUUGGAUACUGUCGGGCUUGAGUGCAGGAGAGGUAAGUGGAAUUCCCGGUGGGGCGGUUAAAUGCCUAGAUCUCGGGAGGAGCACCAGUGGUGUAGGGGACAUACUUGACUAUAACUGACGCUGUGCCGCGAAAGUGUGGGGUGCAAGUAU